AAGGGAUGACGAGCGUGAGGAGGGACGGUGACGUCACAGACGACCAGCCUCCAGCCUGAGCCUGGGAGAAGAGCCACUCCGCUCCAGCCUGCCAUGGGGGUCAGGCUCCUCUGCAGGGUGGCCUUUUGCUUCCUGGGAGUAGGCCUCGCGGCCGCACGAGUAACCCAAACGCCAAGACAUCUCAUCAAACGAGUAGGAGCAAAAGUUUUGAUGGAAUGUUCACAGAAUAUGGACCACGAAAAUAUGUUCUGGAAGAAGAAGGAGGCCUUCCCCCUGAUCCUGGAGUCUGCCAGCACCAACCAGACAUCUGUGUACCUCUGUGCCAGCAGUUAGC